GAAAAAUCUAAUAGCCACACUACAGUGCACGGACUUUCAGACAUACCAAACAGCGAAAACCAGGUCAUAUCCUCUUAUGCAGAACUCGGAGACCUCGACAGACCGAACACAUACGAAGCCCUCCACCAAUAUGCCAACGCUGUUUAAAAGAAUGAGACCUGGAUGUGUAUGCUUAUAGAUCAAAAUAAAACUGUAUAUUAGUAUUUGAACACUCUCAUCGAAGACAAUGACAGGUGCUACUGCAUCACAUGUGAAUAUUAUGUUAUAGAAACAUGUUUGGCUUUGAAUACAUUCUACGGAAACUCAAAAUCCAAUAACAAUACUCAUGUUUGCUUCAUUUGCAUACCACUAAGAUAUUACCACAACAUUUUAUGAAUCAAUUUAGCUUCUUCAAUGCAAAUUGUUUUAUAAGCAUUGACGGCUGUUUUUUUUAAUGCGUGUGGGAAACAUCUGAUAGACAAAGGCUCUAUUGUCCGCUUUCAGAUUGCCAGUUCGCUCUGAUAGGGCCCAGGAGUACCCCAAGUUCCAUGAUCUGGGGUAAAGCUAAUGUAAUCUUGAAGUACACAUUCUGCAUUUAAUUUGGGAAGAAUUGUUUGUGUUUUUAAACUUCAUCCAAUCAUGUUUAGUAUUUUUCAUAGACAGUCUUGUGUGACGUACGUUUUUGUUAUGUUGUCUCUGAACUUCCUCGGUAUACAUGAUGUAGCACUUAUAAGUUUGAAAUCUUUCGAACUGCAUCUGCUGAUUUUAAUAUGAAUCAUUUUAAGUUCCGCUGCGAUUUUAACUGGAUACAUUUAAUACUGAUUCCGUAAAAAAUGACAUUUCAGAUAAUUAUAACUUUUUUUUUUUGAAAAAAUUAAAGUGUUCUUAAACAAGCUGUAGUAUUAUUAAGGAUAUUUAAAGGAAUGUUCAAAUUAAUUUUUUCCUUUGAGUUUCCGAUUUUAAAUAAAAUAUUCCCUAAUAUUUUUUCUCUGUGUUUCUUUCGAAAUAGUUGAGAAUAUUCAAACUUCUAUCAACCGAUUUGAUGAUAUACAUUAAGAUUAAAUGGUAUCAAUAUUUAUAUAACUUUGACCUUCAUGUACAAACUUACAUAUGGGUAAUAAACACUUUUUAAAUUUACAUUUAUGUUAAAAAUUCAAAAAAUCAGAACACACACCCCUAAUUUCCUUUUCUUUGGAUGUGAAAGCUGCUUAUUAUCUAUUCUGCCGGAAUGAACUAUAGUGAAUGAUUGACUUCAGGAAAAAAUAAGAUUUGAUUAUGAUUAAAACAUGAA